GGGGUUCUGUGCAAGUGGAUCAAUUAUCUCAUAGGUUGACAGCAUUUCUGGGUGAUUUUCGAAAAUGGGAUCCUUUCCUAGUACAAUUCACAAAAGUAUGCUUGUUUGGGGGAAAAAAAAAAGCAGUUUGAAGACAGAAGUUUGGGAAAUUGGAGUCCAUGAAACAGACAGCACAAGAAGAGAAUCAUUCCAGUUAGAUGUAUUUCUACAUGAAGGUAGUAAAUGUGACAGAAAAAGAGAGGUGGCUGGUUUCUCUGGAGACCUCCAAAGCAUGUUUGAAAGAGGAAGAGGGAGAGUUAAUAGUUCUCUAAAAACCCAUAUGUUCACCAGAGCACUAGAAGAUUUAAAGAUAACAAAGUCCAAUUUCAACCUGAGAUGUGUCAACUGUCUCAUCCAGCCACCCUGGCUGGUUCCUACAGUCCAGGCAAGAGUAGCUGCUCUAUUACAGAAUCAGAGUUGAUACUUCACUUUCUCUGGAAAACUGAGGGAUGUACUCACAUGCAGACGUUUAUAAUGAUAUUACUUUUGAAGAUGCAAAUAGACCCCUUCACUGUUCAAGAAAUAGACUUAAGGGAGACUUGGCAUCAACAGACCCUCCUGAAUAAAGCAGACAUAUG
rnacentral:lncRNA from 1 species